rnacentral:rRNA from 1 species
GACGAACGCUGGCGGCGUGCUUAACACAUGCAAGUCGAACGGUGAAAGAAGAGCUUGCUCUUCUGGAUCAGUGGCGAACGGGUGAGUAACACGUGAGUAACCUGCCCCAGACUCUGGAAUAAGCGCUGGAAACGGCGUCUAAUACCGGAUACGAGACAGGGCUGCAUGGCUACUGUCUGGAAAGUUUUUCGGUCUGGGAUGGACUCGCGGCCUAUCAGCUUGUUGGUGAGGAACGGCUCACCAAGGCAACGACGGGUAGCCGGCCUGAGAGGGCGACCGGCCACACUGGGACUGAGACACGGCCCAGACUCCUACGGGAGGCAGCAGUGGGGAAUAUUGCACAAUGGGCGAAAGCCUGAUGCAGCGACGCCGCGUGAGGGAUGACGGCCUUCGGGUUGUAAACCUCUUUCAGCAGGGAAGAAGCGAAAGUGACGGUACCUGCAGAAGAAGCACCGGCUAACUACGUG